GUGGGUAACCUGCCCAUAAGACUGGGAUAACUCCGGGAAACCGGGGCUAAUACCGGAUAACAUUUUGAACUGCAUGGUUCGAAAUUGAAAGGCGGCUUCGGCUGUCACUUAUGGAUGGACCCGCGUCGCAUUAGCUAGUUGGUGAGGUAACGGCUCACCAAGGCAACGAUGCGUAGCCGACCUGAGAGGGUGAUCGGCCACACUGGGACUGAGACACGGCCCAGACUCCUACGGGAGGCAGCAGUAGGAAUCUUCCGCAAUGGACGAAAGUCUGACGGAGCAACGCCGCGUGAGUGUUGAAGCUUUCGGUCGUAAAACUUGUUGUUAGGGAAAACAAUGCUAUUUGAAUAAGCUGGGCACCUUGGACGGUACCUAACCAAAAAGCCACGGCUAACUUACGUGCCCACCACCCGCGGUAAUACGUAGGUGGGCAAGCGUUUAUC
rnacentral:rRNA from 1 species